UCAAAUGGCCCAACUCUUUUUCUUCCUUAACAAUCAUCCGCUCUCUUUCUCUCUCUCAGAAACGCUCACAGCUCCCUUCCGUAAGGGCGGCUUCGUCCGCCUCCUGCUCCGGCCGGCGUCGGUCGUCGCCGCGCCUGAGCCCGGCGCUCUUCUCUCUCUUGUCCGCCUUCGAUUUCCUCAUGAAACCGAGCUUCCAUCUCCCUCUCCUCUUUCGAUUUCGGAGGCUCCGUCUCUCUCCCUCACGCUGAAGUUCCGCCGCCGCCUUGUGAAGGCCGGCGAGCGGCGCCGCCUCACUCCCUCUCUCACUCCACACCUCUCAAAUUCUCAAUUCAGCCUAUCAUCUUCUGCAAAUUUCGAGCCCUAGCUCUAUCUCUGAAAUCGCAGCGCCGUCACCUCGGAUCUGAAAAUCCGGCGAGGCCGACGCUAAAUUACUCAACCGGAAACAAAUUCGACUGCUCCUCUCUUCCCCGUGUUGUAGCAGAUCAGUCGUCGUUGUUGGGUCUGUAAACCCAGCGACUAGCGGUCGCCGUUUGUCCUUGGCGCCGCUCUCCCCAUUCUUCAGCAAGAUACUAUCUUGCUGAAGCCGCUGCUCCGGCUUCUGAACCAUCGCUGCCCCUGCUCGAACUCCGGCGAGCCAGCAUCAUUCAAGGCAAAGCUAAGUGAACUAUGGAAGAAUGGGGAAGUUCAAGCUACAACUUACCUCUUCGAAAUCAAGGCUGGAGUUAAAAGAAACAACCCUCCCUCUCUGAACCUUGGUGCGCCUAAAAGAAGGAAAAGAAUUAUGGCUGGUGUU